UCCCAUGUGGUCUAUUGCAAUGGUUAGGGUUCGUAGUUGUCACUCACGCGAGUCGGGUUCGAUUCCCGGCAUGGAAA